UUAAUCACUGCAUCUCUUGCAAACACAUUCUCGGUCAGAAUGAAUACAGUUACAUUUGAUUUAGGUUUGACAAAUGAAACAUUCU